rnacentral:pre_miRNA from 2 species
GUCUCGGAUCUGGUAAGGAUUAAGAUUAAAUGUUGAUUCAAAUCGGUGUCCCGUUUAACCUCUAGUUCUUGUUCUGUACA